rnacentral:sRNA from 1 species
GGAGCUGCCUCUUGUCCUGCACCUCAGCAGCUACAGGGCUCUGGGUGAAGGAGGGCCUGAGGAUUGUGAGCUCAGUGCUUUCAGGCUUGAGCUGCCCUUGGGGAUCUCCCCCUGGAGGCAGAGCUGGACCUUGGGGAGGGACCCUGUGCGGGACGUCCUUCUAUGGCCGCUUCAGGCACUUCUUGGAUAUCAUCGACCCUCGCACACUCUUUGUCACUGAGGUAAGUCAUGGCUGUCACCCUCAGUGGCCCUUUGGCCUUUGUACCUUGUCAUUUCAGAAUAUGUGGGUCAUUAAUGGAGGGUGAGGAUGGGGGAGUGAAGAGAAUAGGGGAGGUGGGAGGUGAGAGGAAGGUAACAAAUUCUCUCUACCUGUAGCUGUCUGUUUUUGUAUCUGUGUGUCUGUCUGUCUCUAUCUGAGUUCAUACAUUGUGCUGUAUGCUUUUUACAUUACGUCAUUUGGCUCUCACAACACCCUUUUGGGAUAGAUAUUAUUGUUAUUCUUUAAAACUUUAAAGAAAUUAUUAUCAAGUACAUAAGUUAUUUGCUCAUUAGAAAAGUUCAAACAGUACAAAUAUGUUUAAGUAGAAAAAAGUAUCCUUUAAUCAUCCUCCCUACUUAGUUCCCUCCUCUCAUAGGUAACAGCUGUUAAUGGCUUUUAAUAUCAGGUUAUUAAGGUA